ACAUGUUUAUGCAUGCAUGUGUGUAUAUGCAGGACAUGUGUAUUUGCAAGUGCAUGCAUAUGUGCUUGCCUGCAUGUGCCCAGUGUGCUCUUGCUUAUGCAUGCAUGUGUGCACGUGUGUGCAUUUUAUAUGCACCUGUGGGCACAGGCAUCACAGGACACCAGUCAUUCUGCUCUAUCCCUCUCUACCUUAUUCCUUUGAGACAGGGUCUCUCACUGAACCUGGAGCUUAGCUGACAGCCAGCAAAAGCCCUGCAGUCCUCCUCCACUGCCACCACAGAGGUUGCGGUCCCCACAGCAGCCCAUGAAGGGCACGUCCACUAUCACCACCCAGGUGAGACCCGGGGUUGAGAGAUGUGCGCUUGGACUGACAGCCACGGACUCUGGGCUCUCACUUUUUACUGUCACCCUGCCCAGGAGGCUCCUGGCCUGGAAUGCCUGUCCUCAAAAUGAGAAACAGCAGUUCUGAACUCGCCCGGUCACCUCUGGAAGUAGGGACACCCACCUCGGGACAUGAAGACUCUUCCUCGGUCAGAGCCUUGAGAUGAACCUGAACUUGCGGGGCAGACCCUGUCAACCGUGCUCUGUGCCAGGUGCCUGUUACCCCAAAUGAGAGGACAGACAGACAGAUCACAGACUGUUUUUUCUGGGUCCAGGGACCAAAAUAAAAGACAUCAGAGGGA